AGUGGCAAGCCCGAUGGAGGAAUGAGCGCUACUAUUCGCAGCAGGGUCUUGCCAAACUCCGAGGGCAGCAGAGCAGCACCCGAGGCGGCCAGAUUUCGGAUUACCGUGGCCGCGUCGUGCUUGACAGGGACGAGUGUGCGAGGCCCAUAGUUCGGGUGGUCUGAAUCGGUGAGCCCUGCUCCAGCUGCUACUGGUGUGGCUGAAGAGGAUGUGGCCCAGGAUCUUUCCCGUGCCCCAACUCCUCAUGCCGCAGCUGCGAGAUGGGGGCAACCGGCAGGCCGAGGCGCUGGAGUUACUAGCCGCAAACACCAGGCGGCAGGGCCAGGCAUCAUUGGAAAGCUGCGUCAGGUUCAACUUCUCGGUGACGCGGUCCACAAAUUGCAAGGCGUUGGUACCCUCGCCCGGGCCCUCAUUGCAGCGGAAGGCACCUGCACAGUGAUUUGUAAAGACUAGUUGUACAUAUAUGUAGAUUUAUUUUUGUUCACAUCACGAGCUAUGAUACGCUGGUUUGCUUCAAUGGUGCCCUGCAAUUUUCUUUCAGUUAAUUUUCUUUUUCUGCAUAUCAGAAGCACUGAUGUGCUGUUUCAUUGUACAUAGUAAAGUGUAGCUCAAUGGUAAAUCGUGUCCUGCGAUGUCAUUUCUUUUUAAUCUCAUCGUGCGAGGUGAUGCAUUCAGCAGUUUUGUAGUACAUGUGCAUAGCACAGUGUGGUUUCAUUUAUAAAUCAUGUUUUGCCAUGUCAUUUUUUAAAAUCUCAUUAUACAAAGUCAUGCAU